rnacentral:piRNA from 1 species
UAUAAAAAUUGGUAGUGUCCUGGGAGACU